rnacentral:rRNA from 1 species
AGGGCACCACCAGGAGUGGAGCCUGCGGCUUAAUUUGACUCAACACGGGAAAUCUCACCAGGCCCGGACACCGGAAGGAUUGACAGAUUGAGAGCUCUUUCUUGAUUCGGUGGGUGGUGGUGCAUGGCCGUUCUUAGUUGGCGGAGCGAUUUGUCUGGUUAAUUCCGAUAACGAACGAGACUCUGGCCUACUAACUGGAUGGAGGAUCCCUUCGUGGGUUCUUCACUGCUUCUUAGAGGGACGGGCGGCGUUUAGCCGCACGAGAUUGAGUAAUAACAGGUCUGUGAUGCCCUUAGAUGUUCUGGGCUGCACGCGCGCUACACUGAAGGAAUCAGCGUGUCCUCCCCGCUCUGAAAAGAGUGGGUAACCCGUUGAAACUCCUUCGUGAUGGGGAUUGGAGAUUGUAAUUAUUCUCCAUGAACGAGGAAUUCCCAGUAGGCGCGAGUCAUCAGCUUGCGUCGAUUACGUCCCUGCCCUUUGUACACACCGCCCGUCGCUGCCCGGGACUGAGCCGUUUCG